rnacentral:rRNA from 1 species
CAUGUCUUUUUGAUAAUAAUUUAAAGUCUAAUCUGCUCAAUGAAUAAUUAAAUGGCCGCAGUAUUUUAACUGUGCAAAGGUAGCAUAAUAAUUAGCUUUUUAAAUGGGGGAUUGUAUGAAUGAUUGGACGAGAAAAUUUCUGUCUUAAUUUAAUUAAUUUUUGAAUUUAAUUUUUAAGUUAAAAAGCUUAAAUAAUUUUAAAAGACGAGAAGACCCUAUAGAGUUUAAUAUUUUAAAUUGAUUUAACUUUAGGAAUUUAAUUAAAUUUUGAAUAUUUAGUUGGGGUGACUAAAAGAUUAAAUAAAUUCUUUUUUUAUUAAUUAAUGAUAAUUAAAUUUAAAAUGUAUAUUUUUAAAUUAAAAAUAAAUUACCUUAGGGAUAACAGCGUAAUAUUUCUUUAAAGUUCUUAUUGAAAGAAAUUUUUGCGACCUCGAUGUUGGAUUAAAAUUUAUUUUUGGCGCAAUAGCUUUAAGAUUAGGUCUGUUCGACCUUUAAAAUUUUACAUGAUCUGAGUUUAGACCGGCGUGAGCCAGGUUGGAUUCUAUCUUUAAUUUUCUUUUUUAUUUUAGUACGAAAGGACCAAAUAAAUUUUAUAUAUUA